UACGUAGGGCGCAAGCGUUAUCCGGAAUUGAUUGGGCGUAAAGAGCUCGUAGGCGGCCUGUUACGUCUGCUGUGAAAUCCCGGGGCUUAACCCCGGGCGUGCAGUGGAUACGGGCAGGCUGGAGGCAGGCAGGGGAGAACGGAAUUCCCGGUGUAGCGGUGAAAUGCGCAGAUAUCGGGAGGAACACCGGUGGCGAAGGCGGUUCUCUGGGCCUGUACUGACGCUGAGGAGCGAAAGCGUGGGGAGCGAACAGG
rnacentral:rRNA from 1 species